CAACGUAAAUAAAAUACAGAUCGAGAAUGCGAAUCAGGGAAAAGAAAAAGGUAGAUUGGUAAUUGGGUUGUACGGCCAGACUUUCCCCAAAUUAGUUGUCGCGUUGGCAUCAAUAGGGAUGGCGGCGUUGAGGAUGUCGGUUGGCGGAGGCGAUGAGGAUGC